UUAAGCUACAAAGAGCAUAUAGGGGAUGCCUUGGCACUAGGCGCCGAUGAAGGACGUGAUAAGCUGCGAUAAGCGACGGGGAGAUGCAAAUAAUCUGUUAUCCGUCGAUUUCCGAAUGUGGAAACACACUACAAGUCAUGUUGUAGUAACAUAACAUGAAUCCAUAAUGUUAUGUGGGGAACCUGCUGAACUGAAACAACUAAGUAAGCAGAGGAAAAGAAAGUAAAACAACGAUUGUGGGAGUAGUGGCGAGCGAAACUGCAAGAGCCCAAACCUAGCGAAGAAAUUUGCUAGGGGUUUAGGACCGCGAUAUGAUAGGUUUGACGAUAGGUGAAGAUUUCUGGAAAGUUGAACGAAACAGGGUAAUAGUCCCGUAACCGAAAUUGAAAAACCAUCUAGCGGAUUCCAGAGUAACACAGGACACGUGAAAUCCCGUGCGAAGAUGUGAGGACCAUCUCAUAAGGCUAAAUACGACCUAGUGACCGAUAGCGAAUAGUACCGUGAGGGAACGGUGAAAAGAACCCCGGGAGGGGAGUGAAAAAGAACCUGAAACUGUAUGCUUACAAGCAGAGAAAGGACGACUUGUCAUGAGACAAUAGUCUGAUCUCGUACUUUUUGUAGAACGGGCCGGCGAGUUACGGUAUGUAGCAAGGUUAAGUGCUUAAGGCACGGAGCCGAAGCGAAAGCGAGUUCGAAAUGAGCGCCAUAGUUGCAUAUCGUAGACCCGAAACCAGAUGACCUAACCAUGAGCAGGUUGAAGCGAUGGUAACACGUCGUGGAGGACCGAACCCACGUCCGUUGAAACGUCCGGGGAUGACUUGUGGUUAGAGGUGAAACGCCAAUCGAAUCUGGUUAUAGCUGGUUCUCCUCGAAAUAGCUUUAGGGCUAGCCUCUGUUUAAAGAUUGCUGGGGGUAGAUCACUGAAUGGGCUAGGGGCCUUCGCGGGUUACCAAACCCUAUCAAAAUUCGAAUACCAGACAAUUGUUUACAGGGAGUCAGACAGUGUGAGAUAAGUUUCAUUGUCAAAACGGAAACAGCCGAGAUCUACAACUAAGGUCCCAAAGUAAUGGUUAAGUGGAAAAGGAUGUGCAAUUUCUUAGACAACCAGGAUGUUGGCUCAGAAGCAGCCACCCAUUAAAAGAAUGCGUAAUAGCUCACUGGUCGAGAGAUCGUGCGCCGAAGAUUCAACGGGGCUAAAACCAUACACCGAAGUUUAGGGAUUGUGUUAGCACAAUCGGUAGAGGAGCAAUGUUUGCGGGCAGAAGCGAUAUCGAAAGGGGUCGUGGACUGCAAACAAGAGAGAAUGCCGGCAUGAGUAGCGAGAGCAUAGCGAGAAUCUAUGCCGUCGAAAGUCUUAGGUUUCCUGGGGAAGGCUUGUCCACCCAGGGUAAGUCGGGAACUAAGCUGAGGCCGAAAGGCGUAGGUGAUGUCCAACAGGUAGAUAUUCCUGUACCACCAAAAUACGAUUAAGAGUCAAUGCAGUGACACAGUAGGAUAGUGGAUGCGCGCUGAUGGAAAUGUGCGUCUAAAUCAUGAGGGGUCAAAUGAGUGAAGUACCGUUUGAGUGCACCCUAGGUGAUGAUGGGGAGUGAAAAUUAGUAACGAAGUCCAUGAAUUCACACUGGCGAGAAAAGCUGCUAGAUAGUAUUAGGUGCCCGUACCGCAAACCGACACAGGUAGGUACGAUGAAGAAUCUAAGACGAGCGGGAUAACCCUUGUUAAGGAACUCGGCAAAAUGACCCCGUAACUUCGGGAAAAGGGGUGCCGGCGAUUAGGUUCGUCGGUCGCAGUGAAUUGUCCCAAGCGACUGUUUACCAAAAACACAGGUCUCUGCUAAAUCGUAAGAUGAAGUAUAGGGGCUGACGCCUGCCCAGUGCUGGAAGGUUAAGAGGAGAUGUUAGCGCAAGCGAAGCGUUGAAUUUAAGCCCCAGUGAACGGCGGCCGUAACUAUAACGGUCCUAAGGUAGCGAAAUUCCUUGUCAGGUAAGUUCUGACCCGCAUGAAUGGCGUAACGACUUGGGAGCUGUCUCAACAGGGGACCCGGCGAAAUUGAAGUAUGCGUGAAGAUGCGUAUUACCCGCGACUAGACGAGAAGACCCCAUAGAGCUUUACUGGAAUUUGAUAUUGAGUUUCGGAUUGCGAUGCACAGGAUAGGUGGGAGACUUUGAAGCGCGGGCUUUGGCCUGCGUGGAGUCAUCCUUGGGAUACCACCCUUUGUAAUUUGAAAUUCUAACUCUGUGCAGUUAUCCUGGCAUGAGGACAGUGUCUGAUGGACAGUUUGACUGGGGCGGUCGCCUCCUAAAAUGUAACGGAGGCGUUCAAAGGUUCCCUCAGGACGGUUGGAAACCGUCUGUAAGAGUGCAAAGGCAGAAGGGAGCUUAACUGUGACACCUACAAGUGGAACAGAUAGGAAACUAGGACUUAGUGAUCUGGUGGUAGAACAUGGAAUCGCCAUCACUUAACGGAUAAAAGUUACCUUGGGGAUAACAGGCUGAUCUCUCCCAAGAGUUCACAUCGACGGGGAGGUUUGGCACC
rnacentral:rRNA from 1 species